rnacentral:rRNA from 1 species
UGUAAAGUUCAAGCUCCGAUUAUGAGGGCGAAACCGCGAAUGGCUCAUUAAAUCAGUCAUAAUCUACUUGAUUGUUUAAAGUUUAUAUGGAUAACUGUGGUAAUUCUAGAGCUAAUACAUGCACAAAGAGGGCGACUUUUGCUUCACGGCGGGAGAAGCUCUGCGUUUAUUAGACUAAGACCUGCAAUGUAGCGCAAGCUUCAUUACAAAAUAAGGUGACUCUGAGUAAAUAAUGGGUGAAAGCCCAUGUUGCUGACCUGACAUACCAAAAGGGGCCUCAAAAACCUCUGUCAGGCAAAUCAAUCGUGUGUCUGCUCUAUCAACUGUGGAUGGUAGGAUAAUUGCCUACCAUGGUGGUGACGGGUAACGGGGAGUUAGGGCUCGACUCCGGAGAACAAGCCUGAGAAACGGCUAGUAGGACUAAGGUCUGCAGCAGGCGCGAAACUUACACAAUGCUAGAUUUUUGAUAAUUAGCGAUGUAGUGAAGAAAAAUAACGAUGUACUUCCAUUUAAACAUGGUAGUACAAUUGGAAUGAGACGACUCUAAACCAGUCAGUCGAGUAACUAAUGGAGGGCAAGUCUGGUGCCAGCAGCCGCGGUAAUUCCAGCUCCAUUAGCAUACAUUAAAGUUGUUGCGGUUAAAAAGCUCGUAGUUGAAUUUUAGGCGGGCUCUAUUGGGAUGCGAUCGUUAAGGGUUCUGUUACUUAGGUUUCAGUUAACCUGGUCGUCAUCUUCCAUUAGGAACCCGCUGUUUCGUCACUUAUUCGAGUGCGAAGCGGGCUGGAACUCUAAGAUAUCUAUUUGAUAUCUAAGUUACAGCAUGUUUACCUUGAGAAAAUUAGAGUGCUCACAGCAGGCAGUUGGGGUGUAAAAGCUCCUUUAUGCUUGAAUAAUGUUGCAUGGAAUAAUAGAAUACGGCCUCGGUUCUAUUCUGUUGGUCUUAUAGAACAACAAACAAGUUGGUUAAAGCGAUCAAAAGUCAGUUUUGAGUGUGGUUUUGGUGUGUGUCAUUCUGUCAUUGGCUCCUUUGUAGUUGCUUGUUACCUGAGGCCUUAAAAUCUCAGUGUCUUCACUACUCAGUCCAAUGUACGUUUACAUUUCACCCUAGCCAUCAAAGCACUCUUAACCCGGCUAGCUUUCUAAUCAACUGAGGCAAUGGUUAAAAGAAAUAGUCGCGGCGGCAUCAGUACUGCAUCGUGAGAGGUGAAAUUCUUAGACCGAUGC